rnacentral:rRNA from 1 species
GUGGGGAAUAUUGGACAAUGGGGGGAACCCUGAUCCAGCCAUGCCGCGUGUGUGAAGAAGGCCUUUUGGUUGUAAAGCACUUUAAGCGAGGAGGAGGCUACCGAGAUUAAUACUCUUGGAUAGUGGACGUUACUCGCAGAAUAAGCACCGGCUAACUCUGUGCCAGCAGCCGCGGUAAUACAGAGGGUGCAAGCGUUAAUCGGAUUUACUGGGCGUAAAGCGCGCGUAGGUGGCCAAUUAAGUCAAAUGUGAAAUCCCCGAGCUUAACUUGGGAAUUGCAGUCGAUACUGGUUGGCUAGAGUAUGGGAGAGGAUGGUAGAAUUCCAGGUGUAGCGGUGAAAUGCGUAGAGAUCUGGAGGAAUACCGAUGGCGAAGGCAGCCAUCUGGCCUAAUACUGACACUGAGGUGCGAAAGCAUGGGGAGCAAACAGGAUUAGAAACCCUUGUAGUCC